AUACGUAGGGGGCAAGCGUUAUCCGGAUUUAUUGGGUUUAAAGGGUGCGCAGGCGGCCAUUUAAGUCAGCGGUUAAAUCGUGGGGCUCAACCCCAUUCUGCCGUUGAUACUGGGUGGCUUGAUUGCGGUCGAGGUUGGCGGAAUUCGUUGUGUAGCGGUGAAAUGCAUAGAUAUGACGAAGAACACCGAUUGCGUAGGCAGCUGACCAGAUCGCAAAUGACGCUCAUGCACGAAAGUGCGGGGAUCGAACAGGAUUAGAUACCCUGGUAGUCCGCACAGUAAACGAUGAAUACUUGUUUUCGGCGAUAUAAUGUCGGAGGCAAAGCGAAAGCGAUAAGUAUUCCACCUGGGGAGUACGCCGGCAACGGUGAAACUCAAAUGAAUUGACGUGG
rnacentral:rRNA from 1 species